GGAUCUGCAGGACUACCGACUUACCAUUAUUACCGACAUAUAGUCGACCUAUCUUCUCAACACACCUAACCGUUAUAAAUGAUUAUCGAUUAUGUGUCACGAUCAUUAGUGGGCAUAAACAACUUAUUAACUUCAUGAUUAUGGUUCGAUAAUUUAGCAUGAUAAAAAGCGGGACCAUGUGCUCGAUGGUUACAUCAGAAUCAUAUAUAAAAGAAAGAUAAAUGAACAGCACAAGGG
rnacentral:lncRNA from 1 species